rnacentral:rRNA from 1 species
AUCUGUGGCCAUACCACCCCGGAACGUGCUCAAUGUCAUCUCAUCUGGAAAGCUAAGCAGGGUCGGGCCUGGUUAGUACUUGCAUGGGAGAAAACUGUCGAUUUCCUACAAAAU